rnacentral:lncRNA from 1 species
UACUGAACUUGUUUGAUUUCUGAUUUUAUUUCAGCCGAUAUGUCAAAAUAUCUACUGAAACUGAAGAAACUGAAGGAUCCCUACACUGCUGUAAGGACCAAAAUAUUAAUGGGAAUGGCCCAAAUGGCAUACAUGAAGAAGGCUCACCAAGUGAAAUGGAAACAGAUGAGCCAGAUGAUGAAUCCAGCCAGGAUCAAGAACUUCCCUCAGAGAAUGAAAACAGUCAGUCUGAAGAUUCAGUUGGAGGAGAUAAUGAUUCUGAAAAUGGAUUAUGUACUGAGGACACUUGCAAAGGUCAACUCACGGGACACAAAAAACGAUUGUUUACAUUCCAGUUCAACAACUUAGGCAAUACUGAUAUCAACUACAUCAAAGAUGAUACCAGGCAUAUAAGAUUUGAUGACAGGCAGCUUAGGCUAGAUGAAAGAUCUUUUCUUGCUUUGGAUUGGGAUCCUGAUUUGAAAAAAAGAUAUUUUGAUGAAAAUGCUGCUGAGGUAAGUCAUCACUCACUCACUCAUUUACCUUUCCUUGAUUUACUUUAUGUGAUUACCAGAGAUAAUCAUACUGUUGUGUUACAUUCUUUGCUUCCACCAAAUGUUCAUUUUGCCAGUAAAAAAUUGGUCAUGAACUAAAAAAGAAAGUCUUUGCAAAAAUACCUUUUUUUUUCAAAGGUUCAGAGUUCAUUUUGAACAUGUGUUGCUCAUCCAUAUAGGAGUGUACAGGAAUUAUUUAGAAGUAUGAUAUAAAUCUCGGCCGGGCGCGGUGGCUCAAGUCUGUAAUCCCAGCACUUUGGGAGGCCGAGAUGGGCAGAUCACGAGGU